ACUUAUCUAAUAUAAUUUAGUAUAUUUAACUUCCAAUUAAAAAGUUUGUUACACAAGAUAAGUA
rnacentral:tRNA from 1 species